AGUGAACGCUGGCGGUAGGCCUACACAUGCAAGUCGAACGGCAGCACAGUAAGAGCUUGCCCUUACGGGUGGCGAGUGGCGGACGGGUGAGGAAUACAUCGGAAUCUACUUUUUCGUGGGGGAUAACGUAGGGAAACCUACGCUAAUACCGCAUACGACCUACGGGUGAAAGCAGGGGAUCUUCGGACCUUGCGCGAAUGAAUGAGCCGAUGUCGGAUUAGCUAGUUGGCGGGGUAAAGGCCCACCAAGGCGACGAUCCGUAGCUGGUCUGAGAGGAUGAUCAGCCACACUGGAACUGAGACACGGUCCAGACUCCUACGGGAGGCAGCAGUGGGGAAUAUUGGACAAUGGGCGCAAGCCUGAUCCAGCCAUACCGCGUGGGUGAAGAAGGCCUUCGGGUUGUAAAGCCCUUUUGUUGGGAAAGAAAAGCAGCAGGUUAAUACCCCGCUGUUCUGACGGUACCCAAAGAAUAAGCACCGGCUAACUUCGUG
rnacentral:rRNA from 1 species